rnacentral:rRNA from 1 species
CUUACACAUGCAAGUCGAGCGACGUCGCGGGGCAAGCUAGGCGGCGAGCGGAGAACGGGUGAAUAAUGCAUCUAAACGUUUACACUAGUCUUGGGGGAUAACCCGGAUAAAGCCGGAUUAAUACCGCAUAUACCCGAUACCGCGUGCAAAGUGGGGGACCGAACGGCCUCACACGAUAGUAUCGGCCGAUGUCCGAUUAGCUAGUUAGCGGGGUAAAGGCCCAGCAACGCGACAACUCGGGAUCUGAUCUGAAACGAUGAUCAGCACACAACAGCGACUGAAACACGGCCCAGACUCCUACCGGAGGCCUCAGUGAGGAAUUUUGGACGAUGGGGGCAACCCUGGAUCCAACCAUUCCGCGUGAGUGACGAAUGCCUUCAUGGUUGUCUAGCUGUUUUGUCCGCGAACGAAACGGUGGACAUGAAUAUGGUCCAUGUACUGACAGUACCGGGAAGAAUAAGCUACGGCUAACUACGUGCCUACAUCCGGGGUAAUAGUUAUGGUGCUACCUUUAAUCUGAAUAACUGGGCGUAGAGUGUGCGCAUGCGGUGUGGUAACUCAAAUGUCAAACUCCCCGAGGCUUAAUCUGGAAAGUGGCAUUUGGGACUGCGAGGCGUGACUGCGGAAUACGAGACUGGAAUUCCUGAGUGUACACAAUUGAAAUGCGUACAUCUCAGGAGGAAACACCGAGUGGCGAAGGCAGGUCUCUGGGCUGACACCGACGAUGAGGCACGGAAGCGUGGGGAGCAAACAGGAGUAGACACCCUGGUAGUCCACGCCCUCGACGAUCUCGACUGGUUGUUCGGGAUUUGACACUUUCAGUAACGAAGCUAACGCGUGAAGUCGACCGCCUGGGGAGUACGGCCGCAAGGUUAAAACUCAAAGGAAUUGACGGGGACCCGCACAAGCGGUGGAUUAUGUGGAUUAAUUGGAUGCAACGCGAAAACCCUUACUUACCCUUGACAUGUCCGGAAAGGCUGCUGAAAGGCGGCUGUGCCCGAAAGGGAACUGGAACACAGCUGGUGCAUGGUCAGUCGUCAGUUCGUGUACGUGAGAUGUUGGGUUAAGUCCGGCAACGAGCGCAACCCUUGUCAUUAGUUGGUACAUUCAGUUGGGCACUAGUAAUGAGACUGCCGUCUGACAAACCGGAGGAAGGUGGGGAUGACGUCAAGUCAUCAUGGCCAUUAUGGGUAGGGCUUCACACGUAAUACAAUGGCGCGUACAGAGGGCUGUUAAGCCAGGGAGGUAGAGCCAAUCCCUUAAAGCGCGUAGUAGUCCGGAGUUGGAGUCUGCAUAGAUCGACUCCAUGAAGGUCGGAAUCGGUAGUAAUCGCGGAUCAGCAUGUCGCGGAGAAUACGUUCCCGGGUUUUGUACACACCGCCUGUCACACCAUGGGAGUGGGUCUCACCAGAAGCGCGGUCGCAUAACCGCAAGGAGGGCGCCGACCACGGUGAGAUUCAUGACUGGGGUGAA